rnacentral:misc_RNA from 1 species
GAGGAUCUCGAACCGCUCGUCGGUGGCCCCGGUCAGCAGCGAGGUGCCUAUGUCCUUGCCGGGCCGUAGCUCGGUGGCGCGGAUGCCGGCCUGGAACGAGCCGUCGCCGAGGAAUCCGUCGUUGGAGCGCCAGGACUUGACCGCGAAGCAGGCGUUGAUCUUCACGAGUUCGACGAUCUUCGGUGGGAU